UGAGAUCACUCUCUUCCACUGAACUGCAAGAAGAAAAGAUAUUUCAAUGGCAGAGAUAAAUGGGAUGGUGUGCCCUCAAAGGCUGUGCAUCUCCACUGGCCAUAAAAGGAGCUUUGGUAACUAGCUCAAGUUUAGCUACCAAUGGAACUUUCAGUGGGAACAGGUCAUUUCAAGGCAGAAAUUCAAGCACCUUGGAGCAAUCACUGGUUUUGAAGAGACUGCUUCUAUCAUUUAUGGUGGUACAGGAAAGGACAAGUUUAAGAAGGACAAACCCCUUCAAGCUGUUCUUCAACACAGAAAUCGAAGUCACGAAGAUUUAUCUUUGUAAUCCCUGCCUCCACUUUGCUUGCCUGCCUCAUUUGGAUGUAGGCUGCCUGCUUUCUCAGUGUUCAGCACAGCUCCCACUGCCUACAGUUUGCAGUGGCACUUCUACAAAUUACACUCCUCCAUACCAAGCACCAUGAAAAACAGAAUUAACAGCCACGUGUGCAAAGUGACUCGUAUCACACAGGAAAUCUGUGGCAAAGGCAGGGAUAUUUUUUGGUUCCCCAGAGCUGCACUCAUGCCUUAAUCAUGAAAACAUGUUCUCUUCUCUGCAGUUGUCUGCUUCAUUCACCGUGUCCUUCCAACAGCUGCAACAAAGUUGUGCAGAGCACAUUCACUGUUACUAUGCCGAGAUUCAUCUUCCAGCACGGGUCCUUUCUGCAUGCUACACAACACAGGAGGCCAUGGAAAACUCCCUCUGCCCAAAGGAAUCUCACAGUUCCCUCUGCCUCACCACUGGCAUAAUCCACCAGAACCCUUGUCUUUUUUUCUGCCUCUUAUGCCACCAGGAGAGUUGGGUGCAUGGAGUGAUGGGAUUCCCGAUCCAAUUCCUGCAUGUAAUCAGGCCCGACUGCAGCUGCAGUGAGCAGCAGGAUCAGGGAAAACUGUUUUGAACGCCAGUAGCCCCAGGGCUGGAGCAUGCCCAGAUGUUCAUGGAAUGGCUCUGGCAGACCAGUUGCACACAGGUGUUUAUUGGCUUGAAGUAAAAGUCAGGAAUACCAGGAAUAAUUCAUCCACCACUUGGCUCUUCAAACAGAACAGGAACGAGCACAACGUGCAAAUUGAAAUGGCAGAUAACGGCGGCUCUUCGCUGACACACACACACGUUUCACCCAUGGAGCUGCUUGCAGGAUGAACUUUUUAUUUUCCUGGAACAAACUCAUUUUAGUUAUGAAAACUGAUUAUGCAUAUUGUGACAGGCAUGCAGCCAAGCAAGUGUAAAACUCUGUUUUUCACUAAUAUCUAUCAUUUUUAGGAACAAAACAUGCUGCUGCUAAAUGCAAUCCCAAGUCUGCUUAGAAACGUGAUUUGCAGUUUACUUUCUCUUCAUGUUUAAAAGCAAAACAGACCUAACCAGAUCAGAAGUAGCAUUGUGCUUAAAUAGUUUAAAUAUACUGAUUUUCACACGAAAAAUAUUUUAAGGAGCAAACACUUGCUAUAUGUGACAAAUCAAAGGAGAAAUGUAAGAAACUUUUCCUGAGAGGUUCGCUACUCCGCACAGCAGAAGCUCUGCUCAGCCUCUCCGUGACCUGGGCUCCGCACGAUUUAUUGGUUAUCUUUAAUAAAGUGAAAUCCAAGCGCCUUUUCUGUUUUGUU
ensembl:lncRNA